rnacentral:lncRNA from 1 species
GGGGGGCAGGUGUUGGGGUAGAUCCUUGACCCUUGCCCAACUAGCCUUCUCCCUCACCUCCCGACCGACCAAGUGCGCCACACCGAUGAGGUUGCUGUGGUCCGACCCAACUUGGAUCGAUGGGCCUUACCCUGAUCGGCUUUCCACUGGCAAAGAUCGACGAUACUUCACCGACUAAUGGCAACGGGCUUAGCCAAGUCGGUACUAAGCCAACUUACAUCGACAUGUAGUCUACAUACAACUUUUGACUAGCUGACGACAUUCAGCGCAUAGUCGACUACUUUUUCGAUAUCCUAUCAACUACCC